rnacentral:rRNA from 1 species
CACGUAGGGGGCGAGCGUUGUCCGGAUUUAUUGGGCGUAAAGAGCUCGUAGGCGGCUCAGUAAGUCGGGUGUGAAAACUCCAGGCUCAACCUGGAGACGCCACCUGAUACUGCUGUGGCUAGAGUCCGGUAGGGGAGCAUGGAAUUCCUGGUGUAGCGGUGAAAUGCGCAGAUAUCAGGAGGAACACCAGUGGCGAAGGCGGUGCUCUGGGCCGACACUGACGCUGAGGAGCGAAAGCGUGGGGAGCGAACAGG